rnacentral:rRNA from 1 species
AGAGUUUGAUCCUGGCUCAGAAUGAACGCUGGCGGCGUGCUUAACACAUGCAAAGUCGAACGAGAAAAGUUUCCUUCGGGGAAGCGAGUAGAGUGGCGCACGGGUGAGUAACGCGUAAGUAAUCUACCCCGGCAUCUGGAAUAACUCACCGAAAGGUGUGCUAAUACCGGAUACGUUGGUAACAAGAAAGGUGGCCUCUGCAUAUGCUACUGUACAGGGACGAGCUUGCGUACCAUUAGCUAGUUGGUAGGGUAAUGGCCUACCAAGGCGACGAUGGUUAGCGGGUCUGAGAGGAUGAUCCGCCACACUGGAACUGGAACACGGACCAGACUCCUACGGGAGGCAGCAGUGAGGAAUAUUGCGCAAUGGGGGCAACCCUGACGCAGCGACGCCGCGUGGAUGAUGAAGGCCCUUGGGUCGUAAAAUCCUGUCAGAUGGAAAGAAAUGUACGGGUGUUAAUAUCGCCUGGUAUUUGACGGUACCAUCAAAGGAAGCAACCGGCUAACUCCGUGCCAGCAGCCGCGGUAAUA